CUUGAACGCUAGCGGGGUGCCUUACACAUGCAAGUCGAACGCGUGGCGGACGUGUGAGUAAUAUAUCGGAACGUGCCCAGUAGCGGGGGAUAACUACUCGAAAGAGUGGCUAAUACCGCAUAAUAUUGGAUCGGCCGAUAUCGGAUUAGCGAGUUGGUGGGGUAAAGGCUCACCAAGGCAACGAUCCGUAGCUGGUUUGAGAGGAAGACCAGCCACACUGGAACUGAGACACGGCCCAGACUCCUACGGGAGGCAGCAGUGGGGAAUUUUGGACAAUGGGCGAAAGCCUGAUGCAGCCAUCCCGCGUGUAUGAGAAGGCCUUCGGGUUGUAAAGUACUUUUGGCAGAGAAGCGGUAUCUGCAGAAUAAGCACCGGCUAACUACGUGCCAGCAGCCGCGGUAAUAC
rnacentral:rRNA from 1 species